CCAGCCAGCAGCCUGUGUCUGACUGCAUGGCUGGGCUGCGGCCAGGGUCCUGCCAGGAGGAACACAGGGGCCUUCUGAUGAUCUAACUACCCUUCUCCCAGCUCCGUCUCUAAAGUCCUCUGCCUCUCCUAAGACUGACUGGGCCACACACCCCCGGGCAGACUGGGGACAGCCCGUACUGUCGGAAGAUGCACUCCAUGGGGUCAUAGCACUGAUGCCCAGAUCCCAUGGCUUCUCCCUGUGGCAUUUCCCAGAGCACAUCUUUGUGAUUUCUUCCAUCCUGCCCUUUGGAUACAGAACUGCCUGCAUGUACCAGUUCCUGAAGCCGCUAUCCUGUCCUCUUUCUGAUUCCUCCUCCAGCCCCAUUUCUACUACAGUGUCACUGGGAAAUGAUUGCAGAGGUGGAGUACAGGAGUCGACGGAAGAGCAAUCUUCACUAGAUCCGCUACAUUGACCACCGAUGCGUCGAUCACCACACGUCGAUCCCCUGGGAUUAAGAAAAAAGACGGGGUGAAAUCCUGGCUCUGGUUUAGGGUCUACGAGCAGACCUGGCCAACUGACCAGCUCUUCCUGGCAGGGAUAUAGAGUAAGACAUGAUCACUCAAAUACUGAGAGGGCCUAGUUUAUGAAGGGCAUUAUAUGCAAGUAUGAAGACUUUGACUUGUGGCUUUUGGAAUAACAGUAACCAUGCAGUUCAUGGCAGGCAGGUGCAAACAACUCCCUCAGUCCCUGAGGAGCAAACAAGGUGCUGUAUUCUGCAGCCGUUGUAGCUUGCGGAUCAGUCUGAGGGAAGCCCAGUUAGGAUUGCCAGCAACAAGAUGACUCAGCAACAUCAUGUCAGAAAUGUCAUCAUAUGGUAAUACAAACUUCAUGAUGUAUCUUUUUUGUGUUAUGGGACAAAUUGCCA